rnacentral:tRNA from 1 species
GGACAGGUAGCUCAGUUGGUAGAGCGAAGGACUGAAAAUCCUUAGGUCGCCGGUUCAACCCCGGCCCUGUCCA